GACAGAGGGCGCGAACGUUGUUCGGAAUUACUGGGCGUAAAGCGCGUGUAGGCUGUUCGGAAAGUCGGGUGUGAAAGCCCUGGGCUCAACCUAGGAAGUGCACUCGAAACUCCCGAACUGGAGUCCCGGAGAGGAAGGCGGAAUUCUCGGUGUAGAGGUGAAAUUCGUAGAUAUCGAGAGGAACAUCGGUGGCGAAGGCGGCCUUCUGGACGGUGACUGACGCUGAGGUGCGAAAGCGUGGGGAGCAAACAGG
rnacentral:rRNA from 1 species